UACAGAGGUGGCAAGCGUUGUUCGGAAUUACUGGGCGUAAAGGGCGCGUAGGCGGUCUUGCAAGUCCUGUGUGAAAUCCCUCGGCUCAACUGAGGAACUGCACAGGAAACUGCUUGGCUUGAGUUCGGGAGAGGGAAGCGGAAUUCCGGGUGGUAGCGGUGAAAUGCGUAGAUAUCGUGAGGAACACCAGAGGCGAAGGCGACUUCCUGGACAAUUGCUGACGCUCAGGCACGAAAGCGUGGGGAGCCAAAGGGAUUA
rnacentral:rRNA from 1 species